rnacentral:rRNA from 1 species
GAUGAACGCUAGCGGGAGGCCUAACACAUGCAAGCCGAGCGGUAUUUGUUCUUCGGAACAGAGAGAGCGGCGCACGGGUGCGGAACACGUGUGCAACCUGCCUUUAUUUGGGGGAUAGCCUUUCGAAAGGAAGAUUAAUACCCCAUAAUAUAUUGAGUGGCAUCACUUGAUAUUGAAAACUCCGGUGGAUAGAAAUGGGCACGCGCAAGAUUAGAUAGUUGGUGAGGUAACGGCUCACCAAGUCAAUGAUCUUUAGGGGGCCUGAGAGGGUGAUCCCCCACACUGGUACUGAGACACGGACCAGACUCCUACGGGAGGCAGCAGUGAGGAAUAUUGGACAAUGGGUUAGCGCCUGAUCCAGCCAUCCCGCGUGAAGGACGACGGCCCUAUGGGUUGUAAACUUCUUUUGUAUAGGGAUAAACCUACUCUCGUGAGAGUAGCUGAAGGUACUAUACGAAUAAGCACCGGCUAACUCCGUG